CGUGCCAGCAGCCGCGGUAAUACGGAGGAUUCAAGCGUUAUCCGGAUUUAUUGGGUUUAAAGGGUGCGUAGGCGGUUUGAUAAGUUAGAGGUGAAAUCCCGGGGCUUAACUCCGGAACUGCCUCUAAUACUGUUAGACUAGAGAGUAGUUGCGGUAGGCGGAAUGUAUGGUGUAGCGGUGAAAUGCUUAGAGAUCAUACAGAACACCGAUUGCGAAGGCAGCUUACCAAACUAUAUCUGACGUUGAGGCACGAAAGCGUGGGGAGCAAACAGGAUUAGAUACCCUGGUAGUCCACGCCGUAAACGAUGA
rnacentral:rRNA from 1 species